UACGUAGGGUGCGAGCGUUGUCCGGAAUUAUUGGGCGUAAAGAGCUUGUAGGCGGUUUGUCGCGUCUGCUGUGAAAAUCCGGGGCUCAACCCCGGACUUGCAGUAGGUACGGGCAGACUAGAGUGUGGUAGGGGAGACUGGAAUUCCUGGUGUAGCGGUGGAAUGCGCAGAUAUCAGGAGGAACACCGAUGGCGAAGGCAGGUCUCUGGGCCACUACUGACGCUGAGAAGCGAAAGCAUGGGGAGCGAACAGG
rnacentral:rRNA from 1 species